AACGAACGCUGGCGGCGCGUUUUAAGCAUGCAAGUCGAGCGGCAAGGGCCUUCGGGCCCCUAGAGCGGCGGACGGGUGAGUAACACGUGGACAAUCUGCCCCCCGGUCGGGGAUAGCCCAUGGAAACAUGGGGUAAUACCGGAUGCGACCGGCCGCGCACAAGCGCGGGCGAGGAAAGGCGCCAAGGCGCCGCCGGGGGAUGAGUCCGCGGUCCAUUAGCUAGUUGGCGGGGUAACGGCCCACCAAGGCGACGAUGGAUAGCCGGCCUGAGAGGGCGAUCGGCCACAUUGGGACUGAGACACGGCCCAGACUCCUACGGGAGGCAGCAGCUAAGAAUCUUCCGCAAUGGACGCAAGUCUGACGGAGCGACGCCGCGUGAACGAUGAAGGCCGU
rnacentral:rRNA from 1 species